UUAUUGUAGAGAGUUGACAUGUCUUCUCUUUUUCUGUGAUGUCUCAACCUGCUGAGAGCAAUUGGUGCAGGUACCCCAGGGCCUGAGCUAGUCCAAGAUCCGUCUCAUCUCUAAGUAGUUAACCUGGGGUCCUCUGCCCUCUGCCUUGCAGGGGUAGCCAGUGUCAACACUCUUUCUGCCCUACUGUGCCUGGCCACUGGGAUUAUAACUGAUUUCUCUUCUUUAUCUUAUCCCUUCUGGAAUAACUAAAAGAUUUCAAAAAGAAUUCAAAACCGAGACACAAUAAACACACACAAAAAGUGUGGCACUUACAAUUUUAGAUUAUUAAGAUUAUUAGAUUGUUGAGCCUCUGUGUGGCCAAAGGCCUGUAGAGAGGGCUUUGGAGGGACCACAGGGGGUCAGGAGCCAGAGGGGACAGUUACUCAACCCAGGAGACAGGAGGUCAAACCUAAGGGAGAAGAAAAGCCAAGGAUGAUGCUAGAAAAAAAAAGAACAGAAACAGAAGGGAGCCUGGGAGGGGCCCGCACUAAGGAGUCCAGAAGCAGAUAUCAAAAUCAGAGCUUCAGUGGGGCUUAAGGAGCUAGAAGUAAAACUAAAACAUCUCAAUCUUUAGCAUCUUGCAAAAGGUAAACCUGGCUGGCACAGUUUUGGGGAGUACAGUGCUUUUCCUUGGCUUCAGGGUCCCCCCUUUCCCAACUCCUUUGACCUUCAGACAUGGAUUGCAGAAUCAAUGUUCAUUGAUUAUGGUGCUUUUAUUGGGACACAGCACAGACAUGCACAAUUCAGCCAGCUCUCCCCUGACUGUGGUGGUGGCUUUGUCCAUUUGGGUUGCUAUAAUGAAAUGCCUUAAACUGGGUGGCUCAUAAACAACGGAAAUGUAUUUCCCACAGUUCUGGAGACUGGGAAGUCUGAGAUCAAGGAACCAGCAGAUUUGAUGUCUGGUGAGGGCCUGUUUCUGCAUCAUAGAUGGUACUUCAUAUGGUGGGGGGACAAGGCAGCCUCUUUUAUGAGGCUCCCCCUUCAGGACCUAAUAAAGCCCCAAAGUCCCCACCUUCUUACACCAUCACAUGUUAAAUUUCAACAUAUUAAUGUGAGGGAGACACAAACAUUCAGACAUAGCCGGUUGGCAAGGGCUGAAUCCCCCUUGCAGCAUAGCCCAGGGGAUUGAGAACAUUUGGAAAGGGAGAACUAGAGUGAACAAGCCAUGUUCAAGGGUGAGCGAGUGCCCAUAAGCCACAAUCCCGGGAGUAGGAGGAUGGCAGUGGACAGGCACACAGACAGGUCUUUCUGGUGAUGAUGUGAUACUCAAAGCCAUUGGAAGGAUGGCCAUGUGUUCUGAAAACAGAUCAUCAGGGAGACAAGAGAAAGAACUCUUCCACUCAGACAUACCAGAUACCUCUUGCCUACCCAAUUAUGGCCAAUAUUUAGGGGCCAGGAGUUAUGAUUCAGAGUCAGGUUUUUUGGUGGUGGUGUUGUUUUUGUUUUGUUUUGUUUUUUGUGGGGGAGAAGUCAUGGUGAUUUUGAACCUUGGAGGAAAAGAAUAAAGCCAUUAUGGAGAAAGUUGAGUGUAUGAGUGGAUUAUAAGCCUGCAGGGUGGCCUGGUGCGGGCUGUCACCCACUUAAUUAGAGUAACAGAUUGCUCAUACCUCAAAUAUCCUCUGAGUAGGAAAGGAAGGAGCAAAAAUGGAAUGAGAAUAACAAUGUUGAUGAUAAAGAAUUAGCUGAUAUCAGAUGUUUUCUCCUCGGUUUCUGCUUGCCCAGGUCUGACUGGUGCAGCUUAUAAUUAGUCUCUGCUUGCAGAUAUGUGGUUCCAAAGACUUGUGGAUUAAAGACAAACUCUAGAAUUUCUCAGUACCUGACAAGUUGUAACGUGAAAAGCUACACUUAGUCCAUUAAAGAUUUUUCACAGUGACAUUUGAGUGCAGCUUGAGAAAUAUGCCACCUUGCCAAUUAUCAUUUUCAGGGCACGGGUAUCGGAAAGGAGUUUGCUAUGAAGAACAAAACAAAAUGGAUUGCAUGUGUAGAGGUGAGCUGGUGAAUACUGAUAAAUGUACUUCACUGAAUGUCAGCAAAUGUCACUUGAGAAGCCAUUUGCAACUACCAUAACAGCCUCCCAAACCCAACAAAGAGUAGCAAGAACGGGUAAAAUGAACUGGGCGUCUUGCUUCCACAUGAAUAAGCAAUCAGCCCUCUCAGAAGUUACACCGGAAAGUUGUUAAACUUGAUAGAAGAAGGUUUUUCAGCCAUACUGACGCACAAUAUAGGUUACUACAGAGGCUGGAGACUUUCUGAGGACGUCAGCGCUGUGACUCUGGGAAGGACUUAAUAACCCCUUCUCUUCCAGUGUAAUCCGGGAAUGGCUGCAGCUGUGAGCUGGGAUGCGGUCCUCACACGCCAUAUCAGGAGAAGACCCAACGGAAGCAACCUUGAGCCAAGUUUUCAGUCUCUCACUCAAGAAAGAAUUUUCAAUGUGUCUUCUGGUUAAUGUGAAAAUUGAAGUAAUGGACUCAGCUUCUGGUUCAUUCUUGGUGACCUAGCCAAAACUUGCCCUCUGUGUGAUUUAGGAUUUCUGGAAGGUGGGGCCAAGUGAUCUUCAGAAUUCAGCUUGGGCUGAGAUGUUCCCUUCUUCCUCCUCAGCCUGGUGAGUCUCCAGACUUUGCUGCAGAGAAGUAAAUGGGAAAGAAGAUCAUAUUCUCAGAAAAGCACUCCAGGGAAUGUGAGACUAAUUAAAAUAAAAUUCCAGCCCCCUCUUCAUUUUCUAAUCUCUGGGGGCUCCUCCUCCUCUUUAAUACAUACGAGGUCAUCCAAUACUUUUUUUCCUCCUUUAUACCAAGACAGUUUAACAGGGUAGCCUUAAUUUAUCUGGCCUUGUAAAGAUACCACACACACACACACACACACACCAUUGAGGUCAGUUCAGUCUUCAUUGGUGCAAUGCUGUGGUGUAUGGCUCAGACACAAGAAGCCCUUUGUUGAAUGUACAUCCCAGACUCUGUCCCCGAAUGUGCUAAUGGACACACUUCCCUCUUCACACUGUUCUGCCGUAUGUUUAGCCUGUGUACAUUGGAAAUGAACACAUCUUACAACCAGGAAAAGAUGGGCUCUUGGGAAAGCGAGCUUCCCUCAGAUGAACUCGGGGGGAUGGUGCAGGAAGGAGGGGUUGGAAGCUAGCUUUUCUUCAGCCACACUCCUUGCAGAGUUCUUCAUAAUUCUGGGUGUUUCCUCCUUAUGAAUUAGGUGCUUCCCAUGGAAGGGACUUUACUUGGGUCUCGGGAACUCACAAGCCAUCUGCUUAUUAUUGAAAUUGAAUUGCCUUCAACUUGUUGACUUUUAUAUCAACAAGGAUCCAUAAUAUAGGCUGGCUAUACUUUACUCAGUUAAGGCAUUUCCUGAAGAGCAAAUCUCUGCUGUGUCCCAGUGUGGAUUUCAUGUCCCAGACCCCAAAACCUACUAAAGCAUAAAAGCAUGUUCCAAAGAAAAGACAAUAUGGGUGCAGAUUUCUCAUCGUGCCAGUAUUCUUUAUUUUCCUAGUUGCUGUAAUUUUAAAAUUUGUAUCUUAAAGCUCAAGCUAAUAAGCAUCUGUUCCCUGGAGUGAAAAGAAACUGUUCAUAAUUGAUUAAUAUCACAGGAAUCCUGUAAUUGCUGGAGGCUAGAGCUAUGUAAAAACCUACCUUCUUAUUGUUUUGUCUUUAAAGAACUAAAACAAAAGCCUUGUCUAUAGACAAGGGUAGCCAAUAUUGUCUCUGUCUUUCAGUGAGAAAAAGCAAAGCUGGUUUGGGUGAGCUACUUUACCCACUAAUUAGUGGCAGUAGCAGGUUUCCUUGUUUUUAAUCCAGCGGCUGUUUACAGUGGACUCUUCUCUGCUCUAUGAAUAAAAACCUAACAAGCCCCCUUUAACCAUUUUGCAUUCUGGGAUGUUUCAAACAAAAUGUUAAAUUGCUACCACAAGAGGAAGAUUUGUUAAAAAUACAAAACUCCUUAGAAUUGCAGUAAUCCCCUCACUUUUGUAAGAAUGUAAACAGGACAUCAGUUUAGGGGACAUUUGCCCAUGGAAAAGUCUCCUCUGAGCAAGAAACUUCACCCACUGCAAGGUAGCAAUGAGCAUCAUUUAAUUGGCUCCAGACAUUCCCAAUCUCAAACUGAGCUCCCCUGUCCUUGAAAGACUGGAAAGAUACAAUAGUAAAAAGGGAGACAAAUAAGCAAAUUUCAGGUUAACUCUGCAGGCAGGCCAUCCUAAUGAGAAAUGGUCAGAGGAAUUUAUUAUCAGGCUUCCACAUAACUUCACUCACGUAUUCAUUCGUUCAAGUAGGCACUUUUAAAUGCCUAUGUCAGACCUGACAUAAUGUCUUACCUGGAUAGCAAUUUUACUUAAAAGUCAUACUUCUUGCCAUCUGGAAUCACAUUCAAUCUUUAUGGCUCAGCUCAAACUCCAUCUUUUCCAGGAAGCCUGCUAAGAUUUCUCCCAUGCUUCCCUGUGUGCUCCCAACCAAGGACACCCAUAAAACAGCAUUCUUCUGUGCUGUCCUGAACUGGGUACAUCUUUCUCCCCAACAAGUGUUAGUUCCCUGAAAAAAGGGUCUCGAUCUUAUCUCUGCAUCGUUGAGAUAGUCUUUCCUAAUCUGCUCUUUAAAAUGAGAUUUAAGGCAGUGAAAGCUGGAUUGUCUCUCACUCACAUUGAGAUCUAAACCACUUUGGUGUGAAUAUAUGGGAAGCAGCCUUCUCCUCCUUGGCUACUGACAGUGUCUAGAUUUGGCAUUCAAUGAAGGUUGUACCAACGAUAUAGGCUGGGGAAAAAGUGGAUGGGUCCAUCAGGAUAAUCUGGGUGCCAUGCAGGCAACAUCAGACUGGUUAAUUUGGAGGAAGAGGAGCUGAAUUAUCCAACCAAUGGUGUAGAUGCAGCCUUUGCUGGCAAAGCUCUUUCCCCCACCUCUGUAUCAAAUAUGCUUCAGAGAUUUGGGAGUUGACACUGCAUCCAGAUAUAGUGGGAUAGAAAUGGAGAACAUUCACAUUUUGUUCUACAGUUGCCAGCCUUGAGGCAUCCUGGCUUCUUUCUUACUGCAUUAACUUAUACUAUUUCCCAGUGGAAAAGGUUUGCUGUAAGAAUUAUUAUAAUUUCCCUCUCUUAUUUCUGCCCAGCUAGUCACAGGGGAAAGAAUACCUAGCCUUACCAACCCCACACAGCCAAUUUUGCUACUGAAAUAUAAGAUUUUGCAUGAGAUCUGCAUAUGUUAAUGACUUUUGAUGAAGAGAUUUUCUUUUUUAAAUCAGAGAUUCAGAAUUCCUUUCCUUCCUUGUGAUACCUAUUAUUUUCAUGUGGCCCUUUCAGGGAAGAAUUUUUCUUAAAAAAAUUUCAAUCUUUUAACACAAAGAGUCCCCUAGGCAGGCAGAAUACAUCCUGUCAGAGCCAAGUGUCAGGCCAGAAGAACCUGUGCUUUGAGUCACUUGACAAAUACACAGAGUUUAACAAGUUCUACUUUUUCCCUUAAAAAUACACAAAACUCACUUAAUGUAAUUUAUAAUAACCCUUUCUUACCAUUUCAAAUAUUUUAUUUCAGUUCCUUAAAAUUUGUUUCCCUGCCCAAUUAGGGGGAAAAUUUUGCUUCCGUUUUAAGAAGAAAAAUAUAUUUAAAGUUUCUAAAAGUAAGGAUGGCUGAAACGUUUCCCCUCUUGAACUGUCAUUCAGAAAAAAUAUAUUUCUAUAUUCAUUUACUUCUGAUGUGAGAACAGAAAUACCACCUUUGCUCAAAGAAAGUUUUUUGAAAUGAUACAAAUCGAUGUGUGCUUGUUUCUAGAAUUGAUACCCAUGUAUUCACUGUAGCGGUGGGAAUUCCUGCUAGGGGAAUCCACAUUUCCAGAAGUACUCCCACCUUGGGAGCAUUUAAGGAAAUUUUAAUAUCCAAACAAAAGCAGUAUUAUCAUCACUACCCACUCCCUCCCUUCGAGGAAAAACAAUUAAUAAUUUGCAUAUGUUCAUAACACAAAUUAUAAGACAAAGGGCCCCUCACAGGCUGUGGGCAAUACACAGCCUUCCACAGGCUGCACAGUCCCAGAGCUGAACUGUUCUAGCUUCCGAAUGAAUAGCAUUAAGCAGCACCACUAAAGCGAGGGGUUCUGGGCCCUCUGGCCCAUUCCCACUGUAGAAUCGAGUGUCUUCAAUCAGAAACAUCUCCCAAUCUUUCCGUAAGCUUUGGUGGGGGGGGGGGGGCGUGGAGGGAAGAACAUAUAGGUCCAAGUGGGGAAAAAUACCUAUAUACUUUGCUCUUUUUAUUUUAAUAGCCAAACAUUGUAAUGCUAGCUAAACAGAAAUUCUUGUCUGUUAAUAGGUUCCUUUAGUUUGUAAUAAAUAGGAAUGCUAAUGACUAAAAUUUGGUAUUUGGUAUGCACAAGCUUUUGUGAGCUUUUUUUUACACUCCUCAUUGACAUGCAAUAUGGCAAGCUUCCUUUGAAAUAUAUUUAUAAAAUAACUACAGUAUAAUUAAACCAACAAAGCCAUCUUUUAAGUAAGCUUAAUAGCUCAGGUUUUUUUUUUUCUCACUUCGGUAAAAUUUAUUUUAAAAAAGAAAAAUAGUUAUGUCUCAGUCCCACUAUAUAUUUUAUUCUGUGCAUCUAAUAUUUCCUUUGCAUCUACAAUCUAUGCAUAUCUAAUUCUUUUUGACAACUAUGAUUAUUAAUAAAGUACUUGUGAAAGAUAUGCUUCAUAGCUUCUUCAACAAGAAUAAUGUUUUUUUGUUAAUGGAAAUUGUAACAUAUCUUGACAGAUACAAUAUAUAAGAUGUGCUUUUUUCUUAAUUGUUAAUAUUGCUGUGCUGAAUACACAAGGAGUAGAUCAACAGCGAUGGCAGGUAAUAAUCAGAGUGGAUGCCAUUUCAUACAAUGUAACUAAAAAUAUUUUAAUGAUAUGAAAGCAAUAGAUAAAUAAAAGCAAUUAUGUUUAAUUUUG